CGUAGGGUGCAGGCGUUAAUCGGAAUUACUGGGCGUAAAGCGUGCGCAGGCGGUUUGCUAAGACAGGUGUGAAAUCCCCGGGCUUAACCUGGGAACUGCGCUUGUAACUGGCAAGCUAGAGUGUGGCAGAGGGGGGUGGAAUUCCACGUGUAGCAGUGAAAUGCGUAGAGAUGUGGAGGAACACCGAUGGCGAAGGCAGCCCCCUGGGCUAACACUGACGCUCAUGCACGAAAGCGUGGGGAGCAAACAGG
rnacentral:rRNA from 1 species